GGCAUUGUAAGGUUUAAGGUUAUGUUGCUACCAUAACUGAUUAAAGUUCAAGUCUUUAAUAGUGUCG
rnacentral:tRNA from 1 species